rnacentral:misc_RNA from 1 species
UUGGAAACACUAGUUUUGUAUAUCCUCCACGUAUUUCACACUUCCUUAAGUGGGCCUUUGGCAGUUCUGUACAAAUUCCUGGAGGAUAUACAAAACUAGUGUUUCCAAUAAUUAUUGUAUUAGUAUAAAUGGGCCAGUUUGCAAAUCUUCUCUUCCCAACAUUGUCGCUGAGCCACCUGAAAAUGGGAAGGAUGAAUUGUUGCUUAGUGAUGAAUUUCUUAGAAAAUGUGUGGAUAUGUUCUCAAUACCAUCAAGGAGUCCUGAGAUCAAUUCACGGCCUUUUCCCCUGAAGCAUCUAAAUGUAGUUGAUUCUCUGAAAGAAAAUAACAACUUGGGCCGCAGUGUAAACAGAGCUAGCUUCCAUCGAAUACAGGGU